GCAACGCAUAGGACAGCCCCAACUGGGCUGACUCACUGUCAAAGUUUGAUCUCCUGCUCUAGAGGCGUAUGUGAUCCCUCCAGAGAAGUUAUGUGAUAUAAUUGCUGUGCACAGGGAUCUCUCUGGGAGAAUAUGAGGAUGGCUAUCUCUGAAAAGGAGAACUGAAGAUUGAAAUAAAAGAACAAACUUGCUGGUGUCCACAAUACUCAUUUUUAAAACAGGCUUGACUACCUCAUCUGUGAGUUGCCAACUCCAGAGGUACAAAAGCAAGACAGAUACUGAGCCAUGUGAUUUGGACAGAAUCUCUAACACACUGCAUCUUAAAUCCUGACAAAAAGGAAAAUUAAGCUCUUUCUACCAUGCCAAAACCUGCAGUUGCUGAACCCACCAAAGUGUGAGAAGGGGUGGAGACAGGAUAAAUAUUCCAGGCCAAGGG
rnacentral:lncRNA from 1 species